rnacentral:rRNA from 1 species
UGGGGAAUUUUGCACAAUGGGGGAAACCCUGAUGCAGCUACGCCGCGUGAUUUAGAAGGCCUUCGGGUUGUAAAAAUCUUUUCUAUGGGAAGAAAAUGACAGUACCAUAGGAAUAAGGACCGGCUAAUUACGUGCCAGCAGCCGCGGUAAUACGUAAGGUCCGAGCGUUGUCCGGAAUCAUUGGGCGUAAAGGGUACGUAGGCGGGUAAGCAAGUUAGAAGUGAAAUCCUAUAGCUCAACUAUAGUAAGCUUUUAAAACUGCUCAUCUUGAGGUAUGGAAGGGAAAGUGGAAUUCCUAGUGUAGCGGUGAAAUGCGCAGAUAUUAGGAGGAAUACCGGUGGCGAAGGCGACUUUCUGGCCAUAACCUGACGCUGAGGUACGAAAGCGUGGGUAGCAAACAGG